GUGCUCGCUAUGGCAGCACAUUUACUAAAAUUGGAAAGAUACAGAUAAGAUUAGCAUGGCCCCUGCGAAAGGAUGACGCACAAAUUUGUGAAGCGUACAAGUGAUGC